rnacentral:lncRNA from 1 species
AGACCCCAGGUACUGCAAAGAGCGGGAACAGCCUUCGCACAACUGUCCUGACUAUGUUCAAGGAGGUAAAAGUUACAGAGCACGGCAGUUACAGAGCACGGAUCGUAAUGGUCUCUCUCUCAGGAGCUAAUGUGAUGGGAAGUGAUCUGAGGAGUUAUCUGAGAAAGCACAAUAAAAGUCAGUGAUCGUCACGGCCAUUUCAGAGCUGGUCCCCCGGGUGAAGCCCUGCACACGAGCCGCUUUCCCCCCGCAGCCCCACCCCCUGCACAGGGGCCGACUCGAGCCUCGCAGU